ensembl:lncRNA
GUGAGGGAGAUCAGUCUGAACUGUUGUGUUCAGUGCACUGGAUCAGACCAACUGUCGCUUUCUUAUGAAACUUGAAUGAGAUAAGGAGGAAUUAGACAUGAUCAGACAACUCUCAAAUUCUGUAACAAGGGAGUCAGAGAAGGGGUGCCUAACAUUGCCAAAGUGCCAACUCACCAGACAAAAGAGCCACAACCCACUGGGAGGCAUCAGCCAAUCAACCCACACCCUACAGCAAAUAUGGGCCCGGUCCAUGUCUACAGCGCUGGAACAGUUAUCUUCAGUUUACUCAACCAGUUCACUGGUCACGGUGGAGUUAGUGGAGGACUAGAGGAUGAGCAAAAGCAAAACACGAGGGAUGAAGAAAGCGGAAGCUGUCCGACACACCCCAUCCCCUCCCCUAAUAUCCAUCUAUCCCAGGAAGAGAAGAAUGGCGAGAUGGACUGUGUAUUUUUCCCUUCACAGGAGCAAGGAAAGGAGAGUCACAUGUCCAAAGAGGAGGGAUUAUUAUGAUUGGAGGGGGAUUGCAGACUGAG